rnacentral:misc_RNA from 1 species
UACACCCAGUAAAAAGUUAUUACGGAUUUUUGAGAGUUUCCCUCGAUUCCUCUGGGAUCUUAUCAUCAGAUCCUGGUUUCCUUAUCACGGUACCAAACUAGGGAUAUCCCCUUUCCAACAAAAAAAGAAUUAUCAAAUUCGGUACAUCCAGUAGAAAGUUAUGCGAAAGUUAUGCGGUAUAAUACAACGUAGGUCGACGAAAAAAGCGUCAAGUAAAAACGCAUUAUUAGAUGUAACUCGAAAA